rnacentral:miRNA from 1 species
AAUAUUAAAACCAUUUACGCGUUUCACCUUUGGGGUUUUCUCAAAAUGGUAAAAUUUUUACCAUUUUGAGAAAACCCCAAAGGUGAAACGCGUAAAUGGUUUUAAUAAGUGUAUUUUAAU